GAUGAAGAACGUAGUGAAAUGCGAUAAUUAAUGUGAAUUGCAGAAUUCAGUGAAUCAUCGAGUCUUUGAACGCACAUUGCGCCCCCUGGUAUUCCGGGGGGCAUGCCUGUCCGAGCGUCAUUGCUGCCCUCAAGCACGGCUUGUGUGUUGGGCUUCCGUCCCUGGCAACGGGGACGGGCCCAAAAGGCAGUGGCGGCACCAUGUCUGGUCCUCGAGCGUAUGGGGCUUUGUCACCCGCUCCCGUAGGUCCAGCUGGCAGCUAGCCUCGCAACCAAUCUUUUUAACCAGGUUGACCUCGGAUCAGGUAGGGAUACCCGCUGAACUUAAGCAUAUCAAUAAGGGAGGA
rnacentral:misc_RNA from 1 species